UGCUUUUAUCAAUGUCAAUAAACAGGUUGAGACAUUGUUCUACCUGUGGUUUUACAAGAUGUUGGAGAAAACUGGGGAAAGGAUACCUAGGAUUUCUCUGUGUUAUGUCUCACAAAUGCAUAUAAACCACAAGUAUCUGAAAAUAAAAUGUGAAUUUUAGAAAUCCUACCGAGUCCCCUCUGAAUGCAGUCACCUGUACUUGCCGCUUGUACUGACCGUUUGGAUUUUCAGUAUAAGAAAGAAGAAUGCUAUGGAAGAAUGACUGGGAUUUUAAAUUCUGUAAUUGCCUUCCUUAAGAAGAAAUUGGUAAAUUCACCAAAGGACUUGCUAAUGACUGCAGGGAUUUAUUCAUAUCAUUGAUUGGCUUAGUAAGCCCCAGCAAUAACAGGAAAUCAAAGUAAACAAGGUCCCAAUUCAUUUUCUUUUUAUCCCAUAUAGUCUUCCCUAAUCAAAUAGAAAUUAUAUCCUGUGAUUCGUGCUGUUACAAAGAAUGAUCUAUUCCUCCAUUUGAGAAAUGUCCAGUUAAAAUGUAUGUCUCAGGAGUUCCCACUGUGUCUCAGCAGGUUAAGUACCUGAACUAGUCUCCGUGAGGAGGUGGGUUUGAUCCCUGGCCUUGCUCACUGGGUUAAGGAUCCAGCCUUGCCACAAGCUGCAGCUUAUGAAGGCUCAACUGCAGCUCCUAUUGGACCCCUGUUCCAGUAAUUUCCAUAUCCAGGAGGUGCAGCCAUAAAAAAAAUAAAAUAAAAUUGUGUCUCUUUUAUAAAGCACAAUUUGAAGGUCCUCAACUCAACAUUUAGUGAGUGCCGAUUUAUAUGCCAGGCACUACUCUUGAUACUGGAUUUCAAGAGGGGAACCAAGCCAAGCCCAUAGUCUUCUGGCACCCACACAUACCCAUUAAUAAAGCUGCCUAAUAAUUCUCUGCUUGGGUUCAGUCCAAGAAAAAUGUGUCUUUCUGAAUUAUGUUGAAUGGUUGGUUGGUUGGUUUUGUUUCCUUAGUAGAAAGCAAACCAAAAUAAGGAAAAUGCAACUCUGUGAAGAUUGCUUUGCAAAAUAGCUGUCUGGGAGUCUCCUCCAUGCAAGUGUCUGGAAGUAUAUUCUGUUUCUUUCUAGUAGAUUCAUUAUAUUUCAUCAUAUAAACUGCUUCCAGUUCACCUAGAAGAAGAGUGCGUUCUUCCCUUUUCUAGCCUUUAUCUGUUCACAGGCGCGCCUCCUUGGUUAUUCUGUAAGUUCCUGUGUUUGCAUCACCCUGGAGCUGGAAGCAAAGCAGUGAUGGGUUCUAUAGGAACAGAAGGAAAAGCUUAUUACUCUACAGUUUCACUUUGUGACUUAAGAAAAUAACUUCCACUCUGUCCCCUCCCUUCCUUCAUGUAUAUGUGGAGUUCUAGAUAUCAAGCUUCCUUAUGAUUCUGUUUUACUUUUACCAUGUAUCUUUUUUUUUUUUAGAUUCUAAAUUCUAAAUUUAGAUUCUAAAUUCACUCUUGUUCUGCUAGAAACUAUGAUGGAAGAUUGCUUAGGGUACUUCAGACUUCAUUUUUGUCUGACAUAUGGGAUGGGGGGGGGGAAUCCAGUUUCACUGGGACCAUUAUGGAAGCCUAAAGGAAACACACACACACACACACACACAUACACACACACAAAAGAGUGGAGGAAAAAAGGCAUCAUCAUCUCAGCUAUGAUUUUAUAGGCUUGCAUUUUGGAUGGGAUGUUAGGUUAGCUGUCUCUAGGAAUAUUUUACUGUGAAUUUUUGCUAAAUGUAAAUCUGAAGGAUGCCAUAUUCAUUAAGACUGCUUAAGUGAUUUCUGCGACCUAGAAUUGGAUAAGAUGUCUGAUUAUGAAUAAGAAUUUCUUGCAGAGUGCUGUAAAAAGGGUAAUGAGGUGCAGGUGGGUCACUGAAAUCCACCAACAGCAUUGAGUAAAGAACAGUUGACAGACACAUCUGUGUGCGGCAUAGAACUGGAAGCUUUUUCCGAGACUCAUGGUACAGCUUUCACCAGACGUUUUUCUUCAUCUGUAAUAAAAGUGCACUGGUUGUUCCACACUGCCAGUACCUGCGUUACAACAUGGGAUCACGAGUGGAGGGUGGCCAUGGCCGUCCACCUGUGCCUGUUAGGGCUACACCUGAGUCAUCUGAGAGUAACCCAUCCUUCAGCCGGGAUCCCCUUUGACUGCACCAAGGCACUAAACAAAACUCCCUCCUAGUGGAAGGAGAAGGGGGCAGAGAGAAGCAGCCCCUCCUCCCUGUAAUUUUCCCCUCCGGCUGCCAUCCCUCGGUAGGUUCCAUCCUUAACCCCAGUCCUAAUUCUCUAGGUCUUUAUCUGAACUACUUUUAAAUUUAAUUUAAGCAACUAUUUGCUCCAUUAAUCCAUGCAGCCCGUUAGCACACUGUGUGCCUUUACUGUACAAUAUUUCAAAUGAAGUGAAACUUCAAAGCCAUGUGAGAGGUAUGGGAAAAGGGGGGCCUGAUAUAGCCAGAAGGAAGCAAUAAUCUCCCAAGGAUCUCAGCAGGAGAGCUAAACUUAGCGACAGACUUCACUUUCCAUUUAACUUUAAAUGUAUAGCUACUUAGAGCAGCCUGGGACCCUGCCUUGUGUUGCAGAUAAAGCCUUAGGCAUGAGGAGGAGGUCAGAAGGAACAUUCCCCCAUGAUCUCAAGUUCUCUCUCCCUCCCCAGGUUACCAAGGAAAUAGAGAUCUCCAUGUUCUGCUGGCAAAUGUAUAACCUUGACCUUGCAGCAGGAGGUCUCUGGGCUGGGAAGAAAGGAGCAGGUCAAAGGACAAAAGCAGCUGACCCUGCAGUUGACCAAGGGGUUUAGAUCUGAUUUCAGGGUGUCCUCAGGAGUCAGAGGGAACAAGACGAUAUUGCUCCCUCACCUGGUGGGAAUUGAGAUGCAUAAAUGCAUUUCUCUACUUUGACUUUUUGCUCCUGAUUAUGAAGUGGACCUGGAGAGAAGCAGGUGCUCCUGGCAAGUUGGAAGUUGAUUAGCAUUAUCUGACAGCAAGGGUUUUUUGAAAAUGUGGGGGGGAAACUGUAAUUGUAAUGUAUACAUGUAAGGAUAACCUGACCCCCUUGCUGUACAGUGGGAAAAAAAAAAAAAAUAGUUAAGACAUCCAAAUCUAUAUGAAAGGGAGGAAAAACUUUUGUCACAAACCCUCCAUCUGCGAUUAGAAUGACACUUGUCUAGAAAUUAGUCUUUUGAUCCUUGUCACUAACUUCUCUUACUUCCCAUUUCUGGUAAAAUUAAUUCAACGAGAAUUUAUGCUAGGCCUCCCUAGAAAGAACUUACAGUACUUUGGGGGAAAGACUUGAAAGCAUCCCAGAAACAAUUAAACUUGAAAACACAGGAAACAGUACUAAGGAAUGAAUAGUGGAAUGUUUAAAAGAAUUUUAAGAAUUUGGUUGAGGUAGUGUGUCCUGGGGGCAGGAAUUCAGGGCUGUAUACUUAGGAGGAGAAAUUAGGGUUGGCCCAGCGUCUCUGCUGCAAACAUUCGAAAGCUGCAUCUUAGAGAACUACCUGGGGUCAUUUUAGAUGGAUGUAGCCUCAUUUCUGCCCCCCCGGGGGGGGGGUGAGUCACCUGGUUGUUUAUUCAGGGUUUAAAUCUGAAAGCCAUAUUUUUUGUCCAUCACUGUAGAACUGACAAUAACAAUUAGAAUGCUUAAGCGAAAAUCUGUCUUUUCAGUGACUUUGAAGUUGCACUUGGUUUCUUGUUCUCUUGGCCACACUUCACGUGGGGUGUGCAUUGCAUCAUAAACACUCGUGGAAAUAGCCUUCCUACUUUCAGAUUUGUGUGUGGCCUGAUAUUACUGACGCUGUUGUGCAGUUUUUCUGUUCAUAUAAAACCGAGUUAGAUAAAAAGAGAGGCAUUUGAUUGCCCUCAAUCAGGCUCUGGCUUUCACUUGUCAUUAAAUCAGAGGCUUAUUUGAAAUCCGUUAUUGACAGUAACCCAUUCGUAGCCUGCUUAGGUGAUUCUUGAGUUCACGUGUAAUUUCAUGUGUUAUUUGUUCUUCAUGCCCUGCUUCCAUGAUGCGCUCAUUGUUAUGCACCAUUUCUGGGGAGUCUCACCUUGGAGUGUGCUUAGAAAGCUGGCAGAAAACAGAAUUCAGUCUGGGGGUCAGCCAUGUGGAAAUGACAAUGUAAAAACCAAGUGGAAUUUAGAAGUCCAAUUCUUCCUUCCUCACUGAAGAUGGUGACUGCAAUUUAAAACGGCAUCAUUUUAACAUUUUUUAGUUCCUUUACGUAGGAGGGGAUGUAACGCUCAGAGUCAGCCACAUGAUUAAACCUUUUCUAAUUUCCAUCAAAAUUCUCUUUGGACUGAAAAAAAAAAAUUGUGACAACCUCAGGCUGAAAGUGAACUGAAAUCUACAUGUAAAACUAGGUGGGCUGUGUGAAUGUUCCACUUCUCCAUUAGUGGUUAGUGGUUCCACAUGAAUAUAUUGUAACGUGUAUAGACGUAUAUACAUUUGUGCCUAUGAAUGUGUAUUUAUUUUCACAUUGAUCUGCUUGUUCUCUGUGCUGAUUAAAUCUCUCAAGGCGAAAUAGUCAUGUCACACAUUAUUGUAAGUAAACAAAUGUGUAUGUUAAGAUCAUUUCUUACCCAUAUGUCACCUCUAACCUUUGUGUAAAAUGUCUUCUACAUUAGCAUAAAUAUUAAGAGGAUGCCAUUUCUGCUAUAUAUAGGGCUGCCUUCAGCUAAUCAGUUUUUCAUGCAUUUAAAUAGGAAUAUUAGAAUGAUGGUAAUUACUUUAGUUUUCCAUGAAUGAUCCAUCAAGACAUUGCCUUUCACUGGAUGGUAUUGCUCAAGGUAAGUAGGACAGAGUUAAAUUAUUAGCUGGGUUGGAAUAUCUUCAAUGUUUUGUUGGUGACUUUUAAACAAAAUUCAUUUUUAAGCCUAUUAUCUUUUGGAAGAGUAAAUGCACAAGCUACUUUAGAAAGACUCGAGCAAUCUGAGGCAUAUGCAGACUAAGUGAAAUUGUAAUGAAUUGUAAAAUAAGACCUGCUUAUUAAAUGCAUGAGAGACAAAAGACUUGCAGGCAGAGGACAAAACCUCACACACACACACACACACACACACACACACAUACUCACACACACACACGCACACACACUGGAUGAAUAUGGAGAAACUCAUAGGUACUUUUUGAAAAUGCGCCUUUUAUCAAAAUGAUACUUUUCUUCCUUUGCACAAACAUAUUUCCCUGGUUUCACAAAUUACUUUCACAUGUGAACUCCAACUUUAGAAGGUUGAAUUUAAAACAACUUGCAUUGUUAUGCAUUAUACACUUAGAGCUUUAAACUGCCUUUACUCUGCUGGAGUUAGACGUCAUUAAUGAACAAAGAUUUUAAAGUGCCUGGUAGCUGGUGAUUCUGUUUCAGCCAUGUCUACGACUUUGUCUGCAUGGCAGUGUGUGUUUGCACCAAGAUAUCAAAAUAAUUGCAUGUUUUGCUUCAUUGUUUCCUAAAAAUUAGUAGGAAAUUGGAGAAAAUGAUUGGUUUGAGGCUGCAAAAAGCAUAGUCAUUUAAACCUACAAUCCAGAUAAGGGCGGAAAUCUCAACACAUGCUGAAAGCAGCAAAUCUUUAGCUCACCAAGAUAUUUGUUGAACUUAAGCCAGACAAAUAUGUAUUCAAAGAGAAAGAAAAGAAUAAAGGUUGAAGCAUGAUAUUCUCAUCUUAAAAAAAACUUUCCACAAAGUUGUGUGCCUGUACUUGUUUAUACAUACAUGUAUAGAAAUAUACACACAUUCUUGUAAACGCAUAGAAUGAAUAGCACAUACCAGAUGGAUAGCAGUGGUUACCUGCGAGGCUGGGAGCGUGACUU
rnacentral:lncRNA from 1 species